UUAGUUAUUGGUUGUACCCUAUGUUUUGUUGUGUGUAAAAGCUUCUCAUAAAGCCAUAAAGCCGCGUGUCUACUGACUCGUACAGUUUCUUCUUUUCAAGACACAAAAAAAUUCUAUGUAGAAAGCAACCGAGUGAAAGGGGCAUCUGCCCAAAAAAUUCCGGCGAACUAAAUGCUCUCCCUAUUCAACUUCUUUCUCCAAUCGAACGAGUCGUUGUGUCUCUCUAUUCCUCGUCGGUCAAGGCCUUAGGUGGUGAUUAGGUUUGCUGGUGGUCGUUUUCUUUACCAGAUGUUGUCUUGCUGUUCUUCUUGGCCUGAAGUCUGGUUGAUAUGUUUAAAUUUUGUAAUAAAAUUUUAUUGUUUGAAUUUGCUUAUCUUAUGAUUUGUUAAUAGGUGUGUUUACAUUCUCUCACAAAGUUUAGUUAUGGAGUUUUUGUAGAAGCUCAUCGGAAAAGAAGUCGAUAAAACAAUUCUCUCCGUUAAGGGGAUUCCUUUGUCGAUAGUGGAGGUGACAUCAUUGUGAUUUGAAGUUGUCUCAGUGGCAGGCUGCUCUAUUCGUAUCCUUUUGUCGUUCAUUGGGCGCGUGGAAAGCCCAGAAGAAAGAAGAUAGGAAGGGAAGGCUAUAAUCGAAGAGGUGUUGUAAGCAGCAGUGGACAGUGGUAGGGUGCUCAUGAUCCGAUAGGUUUUGAUGAUUUACUCGGACCAAAACACUAUCUAUGGUUUUGGAAAAAAACAAACUGAACCGGCCAGUACCAGAAAGACCAAAUAACCGAAUCAGGAGCGUUGUCGGCUACCAUUCAUUCACGUCAUAAUUUAACACUAAAAGGCUAGGUGAUGGGAUGGGUAAGGAUGUUCCCUUGACAUGCAAGUGUCGCAGGUUUGAAUCUAUCAUCUUCGCGUUUUAUUUUUUUGUAAAAAUAUUACACUUGACACCCUUGAGUUUUAAUUAUUAUUUUUUUUCAAUAUUUAACUCAAUUUACGUUACUACCUUCGUUGAACGUGACGAGUUCAUGGUUGAUAUGGCACUUAAUAGGGCAGCAUUAUGUCUUCUAAGGGCGAAUCCAUUGGCAGUUAUGAUCUCUGGGUUUGUGUUUUCUGCUGGUUGCAUGCUUAAGUAUGUUUCCCAAGUAUGUAUUCUCUCAACUGUUGUCUUCAACAGUAAGUCUCAUAAGGUGGCUAAAUAGGGGUCAUGUAAGUUGACUAAAAGGUUAAGGAGUUAUUUUUAGUGCAGCUUAGACCCUAAAAUCAUUAUGUGCUUAUUUUUUUAAAUAGUUGAUGCAGUGAUUACUUAUAAUAAUAUUCUACUUUUGAAUAAACUGAUGUACAUACUAUGCAUUAAAAAACCUUUUGCGCCACCGUUCAACACAACUACCACGGCGACGGUGAGAACUGUGAAGGAUGCUUCCCCUCAUGAAUUUGUCAAUGGUUACAACACUCACCUCUUGCGCUAUGGAAGGUAAAAUCCGUCGCAUUUUUUAAUGUUUUUUUCUUCUAAUUUUGAUUGACUUAGCAGGUUUAUUUUAAAUGCAUCAGUCUGGAAUCAAGCUUUGGAUAUGUUUUCUAAUAACCGUAAUAUCGUGUUGGUGAAAUCUAGAUUUAGUUGUCGUUUAUUUUUGUAAAAUUUCUUAGGUUAGUCAUUUAUCUUAUUUAUUUUGAAUGCGUUACUAAAUAAUGGUGAACGAGUGUUUUGUAUUCCUGAUUGUGUACUUUUGUGCUAUUUGUCAAAAAAACAUA